GCUUCUGGUUGGACUACACAUGCUGUUUAAGAAUUGAUUCUUUGUUCAUAAGUGCACAGGUAGUCUGAAGUUUCUCCUUCACCAGGGCACUGCUCAUUCAUUACAUUGAUUACUCUAUUUGGGAGGGCUGAAGUUAAUAUAGAAGAGCAAUUUUUAUUAAGGGGACAAGAGGUUCCUAAGAUAGUUGCAGCACAGCUUUUCUUUUUUCUGGCACCUUUUUUAUUGCUCUCAGCAAUAAG
rnacentral:lncRNA from 1 species